rnacentral:lncRNA from 1 species
AACUCACUACUUGACCCCAUUCUUCCAACAGCCAGGAAUAUGUAAUUCUCCUGAAAGUCAGAUGCAUUCUCUGUAUUUAUUAGAAAUCAACUCAAUGUAUUUUACAAUCCAAAUUAAAAUUGACAAAAGAAUCGCAACGUGUCAUAGGAAAAAUAAUUGGACAACUCAAAACAAGUCAGCAGGACAUGAAUUAUCAAACGAUAGUUUGAUCGGACCAAAAAUAGAAAGAGCCAAACUCACUUUCGCAUAUACAAGUGAAUGGACAUAGCUCCUCCUGGAAUAUCAACCGCAGUCCAAAACAGAGGAACUCCUUAAUUGGAAGUACAGAGUUCGAUGACCUCUAGCACAUUCUGGUGUCCCUCAUGAAUGCUCCUGUGAAACAGAUACCAUGCUCUGCUUUUAGAAAAUGACGGACUGGAACUUACAAGAUGAGUUGAAUGAACAAGCUUCUCUAGAGAUGAGAGAGGAGAAAAUAACUGCAAGGUAAAGUUCAGUUCAUGUGUCUUCUAAAUCUUCUAAAGAUAGCAAAGUACACAACAAAAUUUAAAGGCUAGCAUAACAUGUUUUUGUCACUUUUGUUCAGUUCAUAUAUCUCUAUUAUGCUUUUGUUCUGUACAUAUCUCUCAUUCCACCAAAACACUACAAAAUCUGAAAGCACAUAGAAAUAUAAUAGCACAUUCGAUCAUUACUGCCAUAAAGAGAUUAUUGAGCCAGG